AUUGAACGCUGGCGGCAGGCCUAAUACAUGCAAGUCGAACGAGUGGCGGACGGGUGAGUAAUGUCUGGGAAAGUGCCUGAUGGAGGGGUAUAACUAGUGGAAACGGUAGCUAAUACUGCAAAACAGCGGUUGUGCUCAGAUGGGAUUAGCUAGUAGGUGGGGUAAAGGCUCACCGAGGCGACGAUCCCUAGCUGGUCUGAGAGGAUGAGCUGCCACACUGGAACUGAGACACGGUCCAGACUCCUACGGGAUGAAGCAGUGGGGAAUAUUGCACAAUGGGCGCAAGCCUGAUGCAGCAAUGCCGCGUGUAUGAAGAAGGCCUUCGGUUUGUAAAGUACUUUCAGCGGAGAGGCGUUACCCGCAGAAGAAGCACCGGCUAACUCCGUGCCAGCCGCCGCGGUAAUAC
rnacentral:rRNA from 1 species